rnacentral:rRNA from 1 species
AAACCCUGACGAAGCAACGCCGCGUGGAGGAUGAAGGCCUUCGGGUCGUAAACUCCUGUCGACCGGGAAGAAUGCACCUGACCUAACACGUCGGCGUGUUGACUGUACCGGUGGAGGAAGCCACGGCUAACUCUGUGCCAGCAGCCGCGGUAAUACAGAGGUGGCAAGCGUUGUUCGGAAUUACUGGGCGUAAAGGGCGCGUAGGCGGCCCGUCAAGUCCCGUGUGAAAGCCCCCGGCUCAACCGGGGAACGGCGCGGGAAACUAGCAGGCUUGAGUUCGGGAGAGGGAAGCGGAAUUCCGGGUGUAGCGGUGAAAUGCGCAGAUAUCCGGAGGAACACCGGUGGCGAAGGCGGCUUCCUGGACCGACACUGACGCUGAGGCGCGAAAGCUAGGGGGGCAAACGGGAUUAGAUACCCCGGUAGUCCUAGCCCUAAACGAUGAGAACUGGGUGUAGGGGGUAUGAACCCCCCCUGUGCCGAAGCUAACGCAUUAAGUUCUCCGCCUGGGGAGUACGGUCGCAAGGCUG